rnacentral:tRNA from 1 species
CAGUAGCUCAGCUGGUUAGAGUGCUGGCCUGUCACGCCAGAGGUCGAGGGUUCGAGUCCCUUCUG